AUGUUCUCAGUGACCAUUCUGCUGCUUGGAAUGCUCUUAACAGUGAGAGGAACUGGAGCCCAGUCAGUGACCCAGCCUGACGACCACAUCAGUGUCUCUGAAGAAACCUCUCUGGAGCUGAAGUGUAACUAUUCUAGUGGAAAUCUCUAUUUCUUCUGGUAUGUCCAGUACCCCAGCCAAGGCCUCCAGCUUCUCCUUAGGUACUCUUCAGGGCCCACCUUGGUUAAUGGCAUCAAAGGUUUUGAGGCUGAACUUAAGAAGAAUGAAACCUCCUUCCACCUGAGGAAAUCAUCAGCCCAUUUGGGUGACUCAGCUGUGUACUUCUGUGCUGCGAGUGACACAGUGACUGAGACUGCAGGGGGAGCUGAACACAAACCUCAUGAGACACUGGAGUUUUCAGAGAUUCAAGGACACAGCUCAACCUGUUUUUAG